GACGAACGCUGGCGGCGCGCCUAACACAUGCAAGUCGAACGAGCGAGCGGAGGUUUACUUUCUCACGCGAGUGGCGAACGGGUGAGUAACGCGUGAGGAACCUGCCUUAAAGAGGGGGACAACAGUUGGAAACGACUGCUAAUACCGCAUAAGAGCUCGACCCGGCUUGGGGUGGAGGGAAAAGGAGCAAUCCGCUUUGUGAUGGCCUCGCGUCCGAUUAGCUAGUUGGUGAGGUAAUGGCCCACCAAGGCGACGAACGGUCGCCGGGCGGGGGAGCUGAACGGCCACAUUGGGGCUAAGGCACAGCCCAGACUCCUACGGAAGGGAGGAGAGGAGUAUAUUGCGCGAGGGAGGAAACUCUGAUGCAGCGGCGCCGCGGAGAAGGAGAAGGUCGUCGGAUUGUGAACUCCUGUGGUAGAGAGAGAGAGUGACGGUACUCAGCAAAGAAGUAACGGCUAACUACGUG
rnacentral:rRNA from 1 species